rnacentral:rRNA from 1 species
GACGAACGCUGGCGGCGUGCUUAACACAUGCAAGUCGAACGAAGUGGCGAACGGGUGAGUAACGCGUAAUCAACCUGCCCUUCAGAGGGGGACAACAGGUGGAAACGAACGCUAAUACCGCAUACUGAAGCGGGGGAUUGCGUCUGAUUAGCUAGGUGGAGGGGUAACGGCGCACCAAGGCGAUGAUCAGUAGCCGGUCGGAGAGGAUGAGCGGCCACAUUGGGACUGAGACACGGCCCAGACUCCUACGGGAGGCAGCAGUGGGGAAUCUGCCGCAAUGGACGAAAGUCUGACGGAGCAACGCCGCGGGAGUGAUGACGGCCUUCGGGUUGUAAAGCUCUGUUAAUCGGGACGCGGUACCGGAAUAGAAAGCAACGGCUAACUACGUGCCAGCAGCCGCGGUAAUAC